AAAAUUUGAGAAAAAUUGAGGCCCAAGACCACAAGGUGGCCGGCCAUGGUCCAAAAAUUACCAAGCCCAUGAGUUAAUUAAUUAGUCAUGUGCAUGGUCAUGUGACAAGUCUAGAUAAGAAGACCAAGUCUUCAUCUUUGUUCAAUUAGAAGCUUCAAGAAAGACAAGAGAAAUUGAGAGCCAAAAAUAAGAGCCUAUUCGGCUUGGCCAUAGAAAUUUCACCCUUGGAAAUCUUGCUCCUAAAAUUUUUCUCUUGGUGGAUUUAUACUAAGUUGAGGUCCCUCUACAACUUGGUGAAAUUGGUUUGGAAGAAAGAGCAUUUAAUUCCUCAAUUUAAACAUAUAUUCAAGUGAAGAAGGUUGGAGGAAAAGAUUUUGGACGAAACGGGACUUAAGUUUUGGGCAAGCGUAAGUCGUAUAAAAGGUACCGAAGCUUACAGUGGUGAUCCGCCAGCCUAGGGUACACAGUCUACUAUUUGGAGAGCUCCUUUGAUCCGGAGCCCAUACUUUUGGUACAGAACUGUUGUUGCUUAUGAUUUCGUUUGGGUACGGCGGGGCCCUGUCCCGUCAUAUGAUUCUGUUGUCUGUAUAGAGGGCUGUAGUCAUGCUUGUGGGUCAUGGGUCGUGUUUGG